CGGCUGAACCCUGCUCUGGCUGGUCAAACGGAACCAAGUCCGUCUGCCUGAGAGGUUUGGUCCCCUUCAACCAGCUACAGCGGGGCCGACAUCGUCCG